UACGUAGGGACCAAGCGUUGUUCGGGUUUACUGGGCGUAAAGGGCGCGUAGGCGGCAAAUUAAGUCAUCUGUGAAAUCUCCGAGCUUAACUCGGAACGGUCAGGUGAUACUGAUCUGCUAGAGUGCGGAAGGGGCAAUCGGAAUUCUUGGUGUAGCGGUGAAAUGCGUAGAUAUCAAGAGGAACACCUGAGGUGAAGACGGGUUGCUGGGCUGACACUGACGCUGAGGCGCGAAAGCCAGGGGAGCAAACGGG
rnacentral:rRNA from 1 species